UAGAAAUUACCAGAAUACUCCUUUGAUUAUUGCUGGCAUUUUCUGUUUUAAUGUAUUAGUAAAACAUACAUUUUGUUCAAGUUUUGGUCACUAAAUAUGGUGAUAUGUGUAUCAUACCAAAAUGUUGUCAGAUGUGAACAUUUCAGGUCAAGCCUUCAAUUAUCGUAAUGAUAACAAUGUCGUCCUUACCUUAUUAUCACGGAACGUGUAUCACUUCAACACAUUAUAUGGUGUUUAAUUCAGCGAGAAAAACAAAGAAAGUGCUGAAAAUGAAAUAAGAUGGUGAACAAAAUUUGUAAUACACAGGUUGAAUUCUAUGCCAAAAUCAGCAUGUACUUGUAUUACAUUUUUCUUUAGACAUGUAUAUGAUGUAGCCCAUUUCAUGUCCGGUAGUUGUGUAGAAAUAGGAUUGAAAAGGUGGAUAUUCACCUUAAAUCAUACAUUCCUUGUAAUACAUUGUAGUUAAAUACAUUAGUUUUAUUGUAAACAGUUAAAUUUUAUAUUUUUUUUUAAUUAGAAUGCAGUAUGAUUUUAAAUUUUGAAUAAAUGUGGGUCAACAAUUAAAACAUUCAAAAUGAAAUGAAGCUGAAAUUUCUGUACAGAAUGACUGACUGUUAGACAUACAUGUCCAUCAACUGUUUACCAAACUGUAGAAUGCUUUGUGAUGUGUGCAUUAGACUCGACUUGUGAACCUGCUGAUGUCAGCUCAUUUGGAAUGGUGACAUACAUGUACAUGUGUAUGUAUGGAUUUGCUGCUCACUUGCGACGUUGAUGUGCUUGUAUUAUUUAUUGGUGUGGAGCAGGCACAUUGGAGAGCUUGCUUGUUUUAUACUUUUAACAAUUAAGGGUAUUAUCACAAUGUUGUUUUAUACAGAUGUAAUAUCAAAUAUAAAUGUAACACUG
rnacentral:misc_RNA from 1 species